UGGAAGGGGCUUUUCGGUUGUAACCCUUGGGUUAGUUUCAGUUACUUCUUUGCUAGGUUGAGGAAAGGGUGGAAGCGCCUCCUGCAGCCACGAAUAUCCUCCAGUGCCUGGGAGAAAACGGCCUAAUCGAAAACGUCCGCGGCAUACAUCCAUUCUUAAAACUUGAGUGGCUGCUUUUCUGGGUGGAAAAGAGCGGUAUCAGACAGGGUGAGCAGUCGGGGAACGGAUGAACAAAGACUUGCACCGUGGCCCUGAUGCCUUUGUUCCGAGUUUUAUUCAGUUGUACUUGUGCGUUGUUACAGGACUUUAGAAUGUAGCCCUGCCCCCCAACCCCCACCUCCCAGGGCCGACCUGUGCUCCUAAGGAAGGCAAACCUCCCAGGAAUAUAUUCUGCAUAACUAUACAAAUAGGCCUUUAUUCAAGGCUUUUGGAUUAUGACAAAGAUUACCCUCAGGAGUAGUAAGAUUCUACUAGCAGGAUAAUAGAAAGGAUUAAGGCUCCCCCCCAAAGAAAAAUUUUUUAAGUUAAAAACGGAGGCGGGCCGCAGUGGGUCAUGCCUGUAAUUUCAAUGCUUUGGAAGGCCGAGGUGGGAGGAUAGGAUAGCUUGAGGCUAGGAGUUCGAGACCAGCCUGGGCCACAUGGGGAGACCCCCCCCCAUCCCUCCAAAAAAGAAAAGAAAACUGGAAAGCCUUAAGGAAACCUUUCAAACUUUAGUGUGUAUCAGAAUUACCUGAAAGGUUUGUUAAAACAGAUUGCUCGGCCACACCCCCAGAAUUCUCUGACUGGGCUAUCUGAAAUAAUGCCUGAGAAUUUGCAUAUCUAAUAAGUUCCUAGUUCCACUUUAGGACCCUAGAAGGUUAAUAUCUUUCCUCUCUACCAGGCUUAUCUUAGGAUGAACCGUUCGGGGUUUGCUGAUGUGAAGCUAAAAUAAAAAUAUUCUUUAAAAGGAAGGAUGUCUUAUUCAGUCCAUAAGAUCAUCUAAUGUGGUAUUAAGCUGGCUUGGGGGAUGAAUCGGGUGUUUCAUUCAUUCAUUUGACAGGUAAGCAUUGCUUACCUACUCUAUUAUGACGGGGUCUGUGCUGACUCCGAAUAUUCGGUGGGAUGCAAAAUAGUUAAGUUCUCUUGUAGAGUUUACAGAUUAGCGGAAAACAGACAAAUUGUGUUAAGAGCAAUAGAAAGAAGAGAGCGGAGGACUCUGAGAAAUGAAGGCAAGGAGUGGGAGAAUGAGAGGAAGGUGGAAGGCGGGUAAGGAGUCUGACCAGCUGGUGUUUAAAAGCUGAGAUGGGGGGAAGAGUCUCCCAGGAGAGUGAACAGCAAGUGUCAAGGACCUGAGGCAGGAACAAGCUUGGCUUCUUCCACAAAUUGAAAGAAGAUCCAUAUGAAAGAGACAGAGAAGAUGCAAUGGGAGAUGAAGCCUGAGAGAUAAGGAAGAGUGAAACAGUGCAAGAAUUUGUAGACUGCUCUAAGCAUUUUAAAGUUUAUCUUAAAAGCAGCUUGAUAAAUUAGAUUUAUGGUAAUUAGUUUAAAAAUAAAAAUAAAGCAACUUGAAAGG
rnacentral:lncRNA from 1 species